rnacentral:rRNA from 1 species
GUGAGGAAUAUUGCCCAAUGGACGCAAGUCUGAGGCAGCAACGCCGCGUGGGCGACGAAGGCCUUCGGGUUGUAAAGCCCUUUUCUGGGGGACGAGAAAGGACGGUACCUCAGGAAUAAGUCACGGCUAACUACGUGCCAGCAGCCGCGGUAAUACGUAGGUGGCUAGCGUUAUCCGGAUUCACUGGGCGUAAAGCGCGUGCAGGCGGUUCCGUAAGUCGGACGUGAAAGCUCCUGGCUUAACUGGGAGAGGUCGUUCGAUACUGCGGGGCUUGAGGUCGGGAGAGGGACGUGGAAUUCCCGGUGUAGUGGUGGAAUGCGUAGAUAUCGGGAGGAACACCAGUGGCGAAGGCGGCGUCCUGGCCCGCACCUGACGCUAAGACGCGAAAGCGUGGGUAGCGAACGGGAUUAGAAACCCUAGUAGUCC